UAACUCAAACACAGCUGACUGACUGUUUGUAGCUGUUAGCUCUUAGCUUAGCAUAGCUAGCCCCUCCACUAGCUGUAUGCUAACUAGCAUCAUAGCAGGGAAAGUCACCGUUAGCAACAAGCUAACUCAGACGCACUAGGUGACUAUGUAAGUUGAGGCUUAAUUUAGAAUAACAAGUGGUGUCUUUUGGUAUGUUGGCUUGUUGUGAGUGAGUAGUUGUUAUCUGAGUGUCAGUACUUAGCUAGAGUUAGUGUUAUUAAAGUAAAACACAGUGUUAGCUAUGAAGCUAGCUAAGUUAACUAUUCUGCCGUGUCUCCCAGGAUGCAUUGCUCUGUGUGUGUGUGUGUGUGUGUGUGUGUGUGUGUGUGUGCGCGUGUGUGUGUGUGUUAAAGAUUUAACAACAGAACAAAACAGUUGGAGUGAUGCUUGGUCUCAGUGGAAGGAAACAGAACAGCCCUCCCCGGCUCACUGCUAUUAACUGUGUAACAUAGAACAAAAAGUGUAAAGGCCGUGUAGUUGUCCUGCACCGCCAUCAGAGGUCUCAGCUCUCGCGCUGCUCUGAGCUGUUGACACGGUGAAUUUAAUAUAGCCAUUAUGUGUGUAGGCUGCAGAGAAGCAUCACACUGAUGUUGACGGGAGGGGAAGUCUUCCCAGACUUUGUGGCACAAUGAUUUUCUUUGUUAUAUAUGUAAAUAUUCUCUGUCUCAUCCUUUUACUGUGUGUAUGUUUUAUAACUGUAAACACUCAUGACUUUACUCUGUAUUUAAAUUUGUUUAAAUUUUGACUGACAUAUGGUCAGUGCUAAGAAACUAUAUACAGAAUACCCAAUCAUUCAAAUGUAGUCUGGCAAUCCUAUUUACAUUUAGUGGCUUCUGUUUUUUUAAUUGUCUGGCAUUUUAAUCUGAUUCUGUUAAUUCUCUUUAUUGGAAGCAGCAGUGAGAGAGGUCAAAACACACAAAGUAAAUACACUUUAUACAGCCAAAAGUAUGAGGACACUAUAGGCCCACUAUGCACAAAGCCAGGUUCUUAAAGAAAUGGUUUUCCCAGUUUGGUGUGGAAGAACUUGACCGGCCCUCCCAUCCGAUGGGAUGAACUGGAACGCUGUUACUGUGUGCCAGACCUUAUCACCCAACAUCAGCGUUGGACCUCUAUUAUCUGAAUGCGAGCAAAUCAUCUGGAGCCUGAAACCAGAAGAGUGGAGGCUGUUACAGCAGCAGUUUAGUGCCCGUGGUUUUGAAUGAGCUGUUCAACCAUCACAUGUGGGUGCAAUGUUCAAAGAGUACUGCAUUUCACUCCUGUAUAUCAUUGUAGGACUCACGAUGGCCAGUUUAAAAAAAAAAAAAAGACCAAAAUCGAUGCAGCAGAACCAGAAAUAUCCUCUUUUUUUAUUC